rnacentral:rRNA from 1 species
UACGUAGGGGGCGAGCGUUGUCCGGAAUCAUUGGGCGUAAAGCGCGUGUAGGCGGUUCGGUAAGUCUGCUGUGAAAGUCCAGGGCUCAACCCUGGGAUGCCGGUGGAUACUGCUGAACUAGAGUGCGGAAGAGGCGAGUGGAAUUCCCGGUGUAGCGGUGAAAUGCGUAGAGAUCGGGAGGAACACCAGUGGCGAAGGCGACUACCUGGACCAGCACUGACACUGAGGCACGAAAGCGUGGGGAGCAAACAGG